UUACGGUAGUGGAAGUUAGAACUAGUGGCGGACGGGUGAGUAACGCGUGGGUAACCUGCCUCAUACAGGGGGAUAACAGUUAGAAAUGACUGCUAACACCGCAUAAUAUAGCGAAACCGCAUGAUUUUGCUAUCAAAUAUUUAUAGGUAUGAGAUGGGCCCGCGUCUGAUUAGCUAGUUGGUGGGGUAAAGACCUACCAAGGCGACGAUCAGUAGCCGGCUUGAGAGAGUGACCGGCCACAUUGGGACUGAGACACGGCCCAAACUCCUACGGGAGGCAGCAGUGGGGAAUAUUGGACAAUGGGGGAAACCCUGAUCCAGCGAACCGCCGCGUGAGUGAAGAAGUAUUUCGGUAUGUAAAGCUCUAUCAGCAGGGAAGAUAAUGACAGUACCUGACUAAGAAGCCCCGGCUAACUACGUGCCAGCAGCCGC
rnacentral:rRNA from 1 species